rnacentral:rRNA from 1 species
AUUGAACGCUGGCGGCAGGCCUAACACAUGCAAGUCGAGCGGAUGAAGGGAGCUUGCUCCUGGAUUCAGCGGCGGACGGGUGAGUAAUGCCUAGGAAUCUGCCUGGUAGUGGGGGAUAACGUCCGGAAACGGGCGCUAAUACCGCAUACGUCCUGAGGGAGAAAGUGGGGGAUCUUCGGACCUCACGCUAUCAGAUGAGCCUAGGUCGGAUUAGCUAGUUGGUGGGGUAAAGGCCUACCAAGGCGACGAUCCGUAACUGGUCUGAGAGGAUGAUCAGUCACACUGGAACUGAGACACGGUCCAGACUCCUACGGGAGGCAGCAGUGGGGAAUAUUGGACAAUGGGCGAAAGCCCGAUCCAGCCAUGCCGCGUGUGUGAAGAAGGUCUUCGGAUUGUAAAGCACUUUAAGUUGGGAGGAAGGGCAGUAAGUUAAUACCUUGCUGUUUUGACGUUACCAACAGAAUAAGCACCGGCUAACUUCGU